rnacentral:rRNA from 1 species
CGGGGGGCCUACGGGAGGCAGCAGUGAGGAAUAUUGGACAAUGGAGGAAANUCUGAUCCAGCCAUGCCGCGUGCAGGAUGACUGCCCUAUGGGUUGUAAACUGCUUUUAUAUAGAAAGAAACUACUCCCACGUGUGGGGGCUUG